GGCAACUUGGCCGAGUGGUCUAAGGCGCUGGAAUUAGGCAAUAAAUCCAGUCCGCAAGGGCGUGAGUUCGAACCUCACAGUUGUCA